CCGACCAAACAUCUGAUGGUACAACCUGUCAUUGUCGUCCCUACACCUGAUCGCCUGAUCAGCCCAAUGCUAUUAGAGGAACACAUGCCACCAGGCCGACUGUGACACUGUAGCCUAUUGUUUCAUCUCCCAAUUGGGUUCUCAGAACACCUUCUAUUGUUCUUAGCUCCCUCUCUCACUUGCUUGGCGGUUGUUCCAAACAUUCACACCUCACUUAAGCCAAAAAUAAGAACAACAAAAGCCACAAUGUUUUCUCAUAUUUUCUAUGGUUCAGGCAAUAUGCUAAGUUGUUUUUCCCAUACAUUUAUCAUAUUUAAUCUUUACCUCAAACGUAUAGGUUAAGUACUGUAAUUUUAUAGAUGAGAAAACUGAAACUUAGAGAGGUGAAGCAACUUGACUGUAGAUCCCACCAGUGACUGCUGGAGCUGAGGGUCACACCAGAGCAGGGGCUGUGCCGACCUAAUCCGCAUCCCAACCCCAUCCCCAUCAGCAAACUGUCUCAUGUCAUCCCCUACCCUCCUUGCUCAGAAAACCUGUCAGCAUGAAAGCCUUUAGAUUGCUUACAUAGUUACCAAAUUGAAUCAACUCUGAGACUAUUCAUUUUAAGAAGCACCAUUAUUUCAUGUAACACCAAGAGGUAAAUGCUGCAGUUACACUAUAAAACAAUGCUAAGACCAUUUCUAUAAAACAGAUGCUUCAAAGUGAAAAUAAACUCUGUUCAACAAUUGAUGGACUUUAAAUACAGUACAUCCAUAGCCAUCAAGGCCUUUUUCUUCCUGUGUCAAAAGGUAGGAUGUCCCUCCUCAAGACUAAAAUCCUCUUCCUAUGUUCUUUAUU
rnacentral:lncRNA from 1 species